rnacentral:rRNA from 1 species
GACGAACUCUGGCGGCGUGCUUAACACAUGCAAGUCGAACGGAAAGGCCCUGCUUUUGUGGGGUGCUCGAGUGGCGAACGGGUGAGUAACACGUGAGUAACCUGCCCUUUACUUUGGUAUAACUUCAGGAAACUGGGGCUAAUACCGGAUAGGAGCUCCUGCUGCAUGGUGGGGGUUGGAAAGUUUCGGCGGUUGGGGAUGGACUCGCGGCUUAUCAGCUUGUUGGUGGGGUAGUGGCUUACCAAGGCUUUGACGGGUAGCCGGCCUGAGAGGGUGACCGGCCACAUGGGGACAGAGAUACGGCCCAGACUCCUACGGGAGGCAGCAGUGGGGAAUAUUGCACAAUGGGCGGAAGCCUGAUGCAGCAACGCCGCGUGCGGGAUGACGGCCUUCGGGUUGUAAACCGCUUUCGCCUGUGACGAAGCGUGAGUGACGGUAAUGGGUAAAGAAGCACCGGCUAACUACGUG